ACAGGUAAAGGGACAAAUUACAAAGCUCUAAUCCACAUUACACCGUGUUUCAUUUUUAUAAACAGGAAGAAAAAAAAUUCAAACAAGGAAACAAUCAUUUUCGAAAUGCACCAAUGUGCUAAUCCUCAAAAAUACUGCACCCAAUCAAUAUAAGAUCAACCAAGAAUUCCCUAACAGUACCAUUGGAAACUUUUAGUAACUUCAGAAAUCUCAACAAGUACAAUAGAUGGACUUGACAACCACUGUUUUUUUCAACUCUAAUUGACUGAUAUUUCUCUUCCAACAAUGCUAUGUUGGAUAUCAACAAAAACAAGAUGAAAAUAAGAAGACAAUUGACAUUCAUAAUCCAACACCCUCCAUCGAGAAGUUUAUAGGGCACAUAGAUGGUUUAUUUUAGACUUCAAACGCCAUAAGCACAGACGUACUGUUUUACCAGAUAAAUAGAUCGAUUAGGAAUAAUACAAUUUUCAAUUAUUUGAUACCAAACAGUGUUUCUUUCUUUAGGCAAUGGUCAAACCUAAUAAGGAAAACAAAGGUCACAGUCAUCAAGUGUACAAUGUUUAGUAUCUUCUCCUCAUAAGUGAUGAAAUAGCUCCAAAGGUUGCAGCCAAGUUGACAAUUCGUUUCAGUUAACUCAAAUGGAACGACAAAAAACACGAAAGACCUAAUUAUACCACAAAUAGUACCCCAUACUCAUAGUAUCUUUUUAUUUCCCUUCUUUUUUUUGAUUGAAGAAAGCUGCAAACAUAACUCAUGAAGGAC